rnacentral:rRNA from 1 species
UACGGAGGGUGCAAGCGUUAUCCGGAUUUACUGGGCUUAAAGGGUGCGUAGGCGGGUUGUUAAGUCAGUGGUGAAAGAUUCGAGCUCAACUCGGAAACUGCCAUUGAUACUGAUGACCUUGAAUACAGUUGAGGUAGGCGGAAUGUGUCAUGUAGCGGUGAAAUGCUUAGAUAUGACACAGAACACCGAUUGCGAAGGCAGCUUGCUAAACUGUGAUUGACGCUGAGGCACGAAAGCGUGGGGAUCAAACAGG